rnacentral:tRNA from 4 species
GCCCGGGUGGUGAAAUUGGUAGACGCAGGGGACUCAAAAUCCCCCGCCGCAAGGCGUGCCGGUUCAAGUCCGGCCCCGGGCACCA